AUUGAGCGCUGGCGGAAUGCUUUACACAUGCAAGUCGAACGGCAGCACGGGGGCAGCCCUGGUGGCGAGUGGCGAACGGGUGAGUAAUACAUCGGAACGUGCCCGGUCGUGGGGGAUAACGUAGCGAAAGUUACGCUAAUACCGCAUACGAUCUGAGGAUGAAAGCGGGGGACCUUCGGGCCUCGCGCGAUCGGAGCGGCCGAUGUCAGAUUAGGUAGUUGGUGGGGUAAAGGCCUACCAAGCCGACGAUCUGUAGCUGGUCUGAGAGGACGACCAGCCACACUGGGACUGAGACACGGCCCAGACUCCUACGGGAGGCAGCAGUGGGGAAUUUUGGACAAUGGGCGCAAGCCUGAUCCAGCCAUUCCGCGUGCAGGACGAAGGCCUUCGGGUUGUAAACUGCUUUUGUACGGAACGAAAAGGCUCUGGCUAAGACCUGGGGCUCAUGACGGUACCGUAAGAAUAAGCACCGGCUGACUACGU
rnacentral:rRNA from 1 species